rnacentral:rRNA from 1 species
UCGGCUUAAGUGCCAUAACGAGCGCAACCCUUAUCACUAGUUACUAACAGGUUAAGCUGAGGACUCUGGUGAGACUGCCAGCGUAAGCUGUGAGGAAGGUGGGGAUGACGUCAAAUCAGCACGGCCCUUACAUCCGGGGCGACACACGUGUUACAAUGGCAUGGACAAAGGGCAGCUACCUGGCGACAGGAUGCUAAUCUCUAAACCAUGUCUCAGUUCGGAUCGGAGUCUGCAACUCGACUCCGUGAAGCUGGAUUCGCUAGUAAUCGCGCAUCAGCCAUGGCGCGGUGAAUACGUUCCCGGGCCUUGUACACACCGCCCGUCAAGCCAUGGGAGCCGGGGGUACCUGAAGUCCGUAACCGCAAGGAUCGGCCUAGGGUAAAACUGGUGACUGGGGCUAAGUCGUAACAAGGUAGCCGUACC